UACGGAGGGUGCAAGCGUUAUCCGGAUUCACUGGGUUUAAAGGGUGCGUAGGUGGAUUGGUAAGUCAGUGGUGAAAUCUCCGGGCUUAACUCGGAAACUGCCAUUGAUACUAUUAAUCUUGAAUAUUGUGGAGGUCAGCGGAAUAUGUCAUGUAGCGGUGAAAUGCUUAGAGAUGACAUAGAACACCAAUUGCGAAGGCAGCUGGCUACACAUAUAUUGACACUGAGGCACGAAAGCGUGGGGAUCAAACAGG
rnacentral:rRNA from 1 species